AAACUCUGGUGGAGGUCCGUAGCGGUCCUGAUGUGCAAAUUGGUUGUCCAACCCAGGUCUAGGGGCAAAAGACUAAUCGAACCAUAUAGUAGCUGGUUCCCUCCCAAGUUUCCCUCAGGAUAGCUGGCACUUGGCGCGUGCACAGUUUUACCCGGUAAAGCGAAUAAAGGUACAAGCUAUUUCAAAAUAUUGAUGGUGUUACAGUUAAUUCAAAACUAGCAAUAAAACAGCAUUAUUAGCAAUUCCCCAAUAACUCAGGCUGGGAAAAUAAUCAGCUUUUCCUGUUUUCAGCAAAAGACUUGGUAUUUCUGUUAAAAGGUUAAGGGUCCCUCUUUUAAACAAACUUCACAUUUCAGUUUAUUUUGAAACUGUCUUUUGUUGAGAUCAUAGUCAGGAAAGGAGAACCUGAGCUUAUAAAUAAUGACUGCACAUCU
rnacentral:ncRNA from 1 species